rnacentral:rRNA from 1 species
CCUACGGGAGGCAGCAGUGAGGAAUAUUGGUCAAUGGGCGCAAGCCUGAACCAGCCACGUCGCGUGAGUGAUGACGGUCCUAUGGAUUGUAAACCUCUUUUGUCGGGGAGCAAGGCCCGCCACGUGUGGCGGGAAGGCGGGUUACCGAAGAACAAGCAUCGGCUAACUCGGUUCCAGCAGCAGCGGUAUUACGGGGUAUGCGAGCUUUAGCCGGCUUUAUUGGGUUAAAAGGGUGCGUGAGGGGAAGGUUAAGUCAGCGGUAAAAUGGCGGUGUGCAACACGGGACUGCCGUUGAAACUGGUCAGCUUGAGUGCGCGAGAAGUAUGCGGAAUGCGUGGUGUAGCGGUGAAAUGCAUAGAGAUGACGAAGAACUCCGGUGGCGAAGGCAGCAUACCGGCGCUCAACUGACGCUGAGGCACGAAAGCGUGGGGAUCGAACAGGAUUAGAUACCCUAGUAGUC